UGGUAAGUUUAUACUGUUAUACCCUUGCAUAUUUCUUUCAUUUAAUGUUUUGAUUUGAGAACAAUUUUCUUUCUUCACGGUUAAUAUUUCCAGCAAAAGCAGUUCUCCUGAAGGGUUCAUAUUUCUGGGACUGGUUCCUUAAACUUGUUUUGUAGCUCAUGUCUGGGUCUCAAAUCCAUGCCCUCUGUCAUCUUGCUCCUGACCUCAUCAGAUUCCUGCUCAGCUCUUCUGUUUCUGAUUCUCACCUUGAUGAUAGAUGUUUGCAUGAUAUUUAAAUAGGACUAAUUUUCAACAGUUUAAAGAUCAGGUUUCUCAGACCUGAGAGUGAUGGCAUCUUUGUGUUCUCCGUUCCUUUAGGCCAUUGCUCCAGCAAUUCUAAGCUCCUCCUGGUGUUACUGUAAAUUAUUCACUCUGCUUAAAAUAUUGAACCAGCCAAGGACAACGGGACAGGCUGGUCAAUAAUCCAUUUCACAGACUUGCUUCUUGUUUUUAUAUUUUGAAUGCUGUACUAGUUUAAAUGACAUUGCUGUUCAUGUGUAUUGCAGGCUUUUGAUUUAUUAACACUGUAAAUGAGAGCAGCAGUUAACCCCUUGCGCUAUUCUGACCCUUGACAAGCAAGCAUUCGCCAUGCACUGUGCAAUGGCAGAAAGGCUGCUUCACAGUUGUAGCAGGGAAGUGUUUCUUUGAAAAUGGGAGUCCUCAGAUAAUAAAUUGGAAGGAUAUAUCAUCAGAAGCUAAACUCUUGCAUUAAAAUAAGGCAUAUUUUACUUUUGUUCAGCUGUCAAACUAUGCAUUUAUUUGCUCCAUUAUAAACUUGUUCCAGCUUUACAUGCCAUCAACACAUAUCCAUAAAUCGCUGGCAAGCCUGAUUUCCA